GGAGGUGAGAGUGAUCUGGCUGUGACAUCUGUCACCCCAUAGAUUGCCAGGGUUGAUUGGGCUGGGCUGGUUGGCUAGGCGGGUGCCCCCUCCCUCCCCGCUCCAUGUGCAUCUCUCCUGAAGCUGUGUGUUGUUCCAUGGAAGAGGACAACCAUUCCAGACAGAAGGAGAGUCUUUAGUCAAGGCUUUACGAUCACUGCACUCCCCUGCUAAAAGUUCCCAGGGUUUCUGACACUGAGGUUGGACAGGCAGCACCUUAAACACCUGAUGCAAACCUGGCCCACAUAGAGGAAUGCUUGACUCC